AGAAUCAAAGAAUUCCAUCGGACAUGGUGUUUCUUAGGACUUCAGAAAAAGCAGGUUCGUGUUUUAUUCGAACUGAUCAACUAGAUGGUGAAACUGACUGGAAGCUGAAGGUGGCAGUGAGCUGCACGCAACGGCUGCCGGCUCUGGGGGACCUUUUUUCUAUCAGUGCUUAUGUUUAUGCUCAGAAACCACAAAUGGACAUUCACAGUUUUGAAGGCACAUUUACCAGGUUGGAAAUGUUCACUAGACAAUGUGUGGAAGUACAAGGAAGUCGUAGAGCAAGUGCAGGUUGGCUGAAAAACCUGGUUCAAAGGGGAGCGUAUGGCUCAGUCUGCAGGUGUGACAAGGGCUGGGGCAUAUCGGACUAGAAAGGUAUCAAUGGCUUGACUGGAAGAACCCAUCGAAGGAUCUUCAGCUUAGAAGAGAAAUGAUAAAUACAGAUGUUUUAAAAAG
rnacentral:sRNA from 1 species